rnacentral:rRNA from 4 species
UGCGACCCCAGGUCAGGCGGGACUACCCGCUGAGUUUAAGCAUAUCAAUAAGCGGAGGAAAAGAAACUUACCAGGAUU